rnacentral:rRNA from 1 species
UACGAAGGGGGCUAGCGUUGCUCGGAAUCACUGGGCGUAAAGGGUGCGUAGGCGGGUCUUUAAGUCAGGGGUGAAAUCCUGGAGCUCAACUCCAGAACUGCCUUUGAUACUGGGGAUCUCGAGUCCGGAAGAGGUGAGUGGAACUCCGAGUGUAGAGGUGAAAUUCGUAGAUAUUCGGAAGAACACCAGUGGCGAAGGCGGCUCACUGGCCCGGUACUGACGCUGAGAUACGAAAGCGUGGGGAGCAAACAGG